GCCUGGUUGGCUCUGUCAGUAAGCGUCUGACUUCAGCUCAGGUCAUGGUCUCGUGGUUUGUGGGUUCGAGCCCCAUGCUGGGCU
rnacentral:tRNA from 1 species